rnacentral:lncRNA from 1 species
CAGUGAGCUGUGAUCAUGCCACUGCAUCGUAACCUGGGUAACAGAGUGAGACCCUAUUUCAAAAAAUAAAAACAAUAAUAAAAACUAGGAGUGGAAAGGAUAGGGGUUUAGAUGAAACAAGAUUGCCCAUGUAUAACUGUUGAUGCCUAAUGAUAGAUACGUUGAGUUCAGUACGCUAUUUUUUCUACUUCUAUGUAUUUAGAAUUUUCCACUUAAAAAGUUUUUUUAAAUAGAUUGACAGAGGUUUAUCAAAGUUCAUAAUAUUUCAAUUUUUCCAAAUAUUUUAGAUAUAAUGGGUUAAAUGGGAUACUUUUCAACCUUUCAGUGAAAGAGUAAGACAUACAAUUUAUAGUCAUUUGG